AUAGAAAAUAGAAUCGUAUCUGCAGCCGCAGGAAGCUCCCCUAUUGCCCAGGAAAAACAUCAGUAGCAACAUCAGUAGCAGUCUUAAGGAGCACAAUGAAACCAGCAUCUCUAGUCUGUAGCAACUGCUUAAUGAAAACAAACAGCCGACUACAGCCACGUAGCUUACCCUCUCCACGCUGCGCCUUCUCAGAGAUCCAUAAGCUUCCUUCUGGCUGUCCCUGCAGCUCUGGCUCAGCGUGACCUGCUGCCCCAGGAGUGGGUACGUGGUGCUUGUGAGGAGAAUGAUCCAGAAAUGUCAACUUGGCUUCUCCGGGCUUCGGAUGGCAACCAGGAGGGGACAGACACUCAUACUGAUAUGACCACUUGAGGGGAGGAGACUGGAUGGAUGCUUGCUUAGUUACCAGACACCGGGCUGGGAGGUUUCCAAAGGCUACCCUCAAUGAACCAAAUGGCUUCCAUUGUUUGUGUUUAACUGGUGAAGAAACAGCCUUCCUGUUUGAGUAAGCACCUGACUUGCCCUUGACUGCUCGAGGCCACUCCAGACACUUAGAGGCUGCAGCAUUGAGCGGAUGGCCACUCUGCAUGGUGGGAAUAGCUUAUUGCAUAUGCUGUGAAGAGUGAUGUCAUGUCUUGGUCCCAGGGAAUCAAUACUAUUGCCAGGAUGCCUGUGUGAUUAAGCAGACAGAGAACUUGAACAUAUAAUUUUCCUCUAUAGAAUGGAUCCCUAUAGUUGAAGGAACCCUUCCAGCACUGCAAAGGAGAGUGGGGCCUUUCCUUGAUGGUGUCUGAUUCUUCCCUCUCCAAUACUCAGGGAACAUGGGCAUUACUACCAAAGGCAAUUGUUACCCUUCACCAUGAGUCUCAUGUUUUCCCAAUGAGAUGGGACAAAUCAACUUGAAUUUGUCAGAAUGACUGGCAUCUCCUAACCUCAUGCCGUGGGAAUAUGGUUUAUCUUGAGUGCGCACCCACUAACCCGUACAUCAAAAUGUCAGAGGGCUUCCCAGUACAAGUUCAUGGCCAAAACGGGUAAAAUACCUUCAAUGGAGCAAUUCUUAGAGGCAAAUGAUGAUGAAUAGAGGAUUCUGUUACAGUUUUCUUGGCCUACCCCACUCUGUUUGCAUUCUAAGCCUCUACAACAGAAAGAAAAGUUGUGAAAAUUGCUUGAGAUACUGAGUCACGUGGUGAGAACAAGGGUGGUAAGACAUGACACCAGGGGGCUGGACAGAUGGCUUGGGGGAGGGAGGAGCACUUGUUAUGCAAGCAUGAGCAAUGGAGACAGGAGAAUCCUCCCAUGUUUUCUGAACAGCUAGCCUCAUCCACAGAGU
ensembl:processed_transcript Gm13187 predicted gene 13187